GAUUAUGACGUACUUGUACUGAUUGAGAUUUUAACACGAAGUGAGUGGCGAACGGGUGAGUAACACGUGGGUAACCUGCCCAGAAGUAGGGGAUAACACCUGGAAACAGAUGCUAAUACCGUAUAACAGAGAAAACCGCAUGGUUUUCUUUUAAAAGAUGGCUCUGCUAUCACUUCUGGAUGGACCCGCGGCGUAUUAGCUAGUUGGUGAGGUAAAGGCUCACCAAGGCAGUGAUACGUAGCCGACCUGAGAGGGUAAUCGGCCACAUUGGGACUGAGACACGGCCCAGACUCCUACGGGAGGCAGCAGUAGGGAAUCUUCCACAAUGGACGCAAGUCUGAUGGAGCAACGCCGCGUGAGUGAAGAAGGGUUUCGGCUCGUAAAGCUCUGUUGUUAAAGAAGAACGUGGGUAAGAGUAACUGUUUACCCAGUGACGGUAUUUAACCAGAAAGCCACGGCUAACUACGUGCCAGCAGCCGCGGUAAUACGUAGGUGGCAAGCGUUAUCCGGAUUUAUUGGGCGUAAAGCGAGCGCAGGCGGUCUUUUAAGUCUAAUGUGAAAGCCUUCGGCUCAACCGAAGAAGUGCAUUGGAAACUGGGAGACUUGAGUGCAGAAGAGGACAGUGGAACUCCAUGUGUAGCGGUGAAAUGCGUAGAUAUAUGGAAGAACACCAGUGGCGAAGGCGGCUGUCUGGUCUGCAACUGACGCUGAGGCUCGAAAGCAUGGGUAGCGAACAGGAUUAGAUACCCUGGUAGUCCAUGCCGUAAACGAUGAUUACUAA
rnacentral:rRNA from 1 species